GAUGAACGCUGGCGGCGUGCCUAAUACAUGCAAGUCGAGCGAACAGACGAGGAGCUUGCUCCUCUGACGUUAGCGGCGGACGGGUGAGUAACACGUGGAUACCCUACCUAUAAGACUGGGAUAACUUCGGGAAACCGGAGCUAAUACCGGAUAAUAUAUUGAACCGCAUGGUUCAAUAGUGAAAGACGGUUUUGCUGUCACUUAUAGAUGGAUCCGCGCCGCAUUAGCUAGUUGGUAAGGUAACGGCUUACCAAGGCAACGAUGCGUAGCCGACCUGAGAGGGUGAUCGGCCACACUGGAACUGAGACGCGGUCCAGACUCCUACGGGAGGCAGCAGUAGGGAAUCUUCCGCAAUGGGCGAAAGCUUGACGGAGCAACGCCGCGUGAGUGAUGAAGGUCUUCGGAUCGUAAAACUCUGUUAUUAGGGAAGAACAAAUGUGUAAGUAACUAUGCACGUCUUGACGGUACCUAAUCAGAAAGCCACGGCUAACUACGUG
rnacentral:rRNA from 1 species